rnacentral:rRNA from 1 species
AGAGUUUGAUUCUGGCUCAGAACGAACGCUGGCAGCGUGGAUUAGGCAUGCAUUCGAACGGGAAACUAUGGUUUCAAGUUUUCGGACGAGAGACUGUAGUGGAGAGUGGCGAAAGGGUGAGGAACGCGUGGGUAACCUGCCCCCAAGUUUGGGACAACCCCGGGAAACUGGGGCUAAUACCGAAUGUGGUCUUCCGUCGCAUGACGGAUGGAUUAAAGAUGGGGAUUCUUCGGAACCUGUCUCUUGGAGAGGGGCCCGCGUACCAUCAGCUUGUUGGUGAGGUAAUGGCUCACCAAGGCUUACGGUUAGCCGGCCUGAGAGGGUGACCGGCCACACUGGGACUGAGACACUGCCCAGACUCCUACGGGAGGCUGCAGUCGAGGAUCAUUGUCAAUGUGCGAAAGCGUGAACAUGCGACGCUGCGUGGAGGAUGACGGCCUUCGGGUUGUAAACUCCUGUCAUUCGGGAAAAACUGUUCCGAUGUUAAUAACGUCGGGAAUUGAUGGUACCGAAAGAGGAAGCCACGGCUAACUCUGUGCCAGCAGCCGCGGUAAUACAGAGGUGGCGAGCGUUGUUCGGAUUUACUGGGCGUAAAGCGUGCGUAGGUGGUUUUGUAUGUCGGAUGUGAAAUCCCAUGGCUCAACUGUGGAAUUGCAUCCGAAACUGCGAGGCUGGAGUACAGGAAGGGAGAGCGGAAUUCUUGGUGUAGCGGUGAAAUGCGUUGAUAUCAAGAAGAACACCGGUGGCGAAGGCGGCUCUCUGGAAUGUCACUGACACUGAGGCACGAAAGUCGGGGUAGCAAACAGGAUUAGAUACCCUGGUAGUCCCGACUGUAAACGGUGUGCACUUGGUGUGGAGGGUAUUGACCCCCUCCGUGCCGGAGCUAACGCGUUAAGUGCACCGCCUGGGGAGUACGGCCGCAAGGCUAAAACUCAAAGAAAUUGACGGGGGCCCGCACAAGCGGAGGAGCAUGUGGCUCAAUUCGAUGCAACGCGAAGAACCUUACCAGGGCUUGACAUGCAGCUGCAACUCCGGUGAAAGCCGGAUUCCUUCGAGGGUGCUGCACAGGUGCUGCAUGGCUGUCGUCAGUUCGUGCCGUGAGGUGUUGGGUUAAGUCCCGCAACGAACGCAACCCUUGUGUUUAGUUGCCACCGCAGGUGAUGAGCCUGCGAGCACUCUAGACAGACUGCCCGUACAAGCGGGAGGAAGGUGGGGAUGACGUCAAGUCAGUAUGGCCCUUACGCCCUGGGCUGCACACGUGCUACAAUGACAGGUACAGAAGGAUGCAAUACCGCGAGGUGGAGCAAAUCCCUAAAACCUGCCUCAGUUCGGAUUGGAGUCUGCAAUUCGACUCCAU